AUUGAACGCUGGUGGCAUGCCUUACACAUGCAAGUCGAACGGUAACGGGCCUUCGGGUGCCGACGAGUGGCGAACGGGUGAGUAAUACAUCGGAACGUGCCCGAUCGUGGGGGAUAACGAGGCGAAAGCUUUGCUAAUACCGCAUACGAUCUACGGAUGAAAGCAGGGGACCGCAAGGCCUUGCGCGGACGGAGCGGCCGAUGGCAGAUUAGGUAGUUGGUGGGAUAAAAGCUUACCAAGCCGACGAUCUGUAGCUGGUCUGAGAGGAUGAUCAGCCACACUGGGACUGAGACACGGCCCAGACUCCUACGGGAGGCAGCAGUGGGGAAUUUUGGACAAUGGGCGCAAGCCUGAUCCAGCCAUGCCGCGUGCAGGAUGAAGGCCUUCGGGUUGUAAACUGCUUUUGUACGGAACGAAAAGCCUUCUUUUAAUACAGGAGGGUCAUGACGGUACCGUAAGAAUAAGCACCGGCUAGCUACGUG
rnacentral:rRNA from 1 species